CAUUAGAUGGCCGAGUGGUUAUGGCGCUGUAAGUUUACAUGUCGCCAACUUUGAUGGGUAACACCGUCUAACAACCGCGCAGAGUUUCAGGCUGUGUAAACAGUGUUGAAGACCAAUUACUAGUGGGUUAUUCCGCGUGGGUUCGAGUCCCACUCUGGUAUGUGA
rnacentral:tRNA from 1 species